GACGAACGCUGGCGGCGUGCUUAACACAUGCAAGUCGAACGAUGAAGCUAGAGCUUGCUCUGGUGGAUUAGUGGCGAACGGGUGAGUAACACGUGAGUAACCUGCCCCGAACUCUGGGAUAACUGCUGGAAACGGUAGCUAAUACCGGAUAUGACCAAUGAAGGCAUCUUCUGUUGGUGGAAAGAAUUUCGGUUCGGGAUGGACUCGCGGCCUAUCAGCUUGUUGGUGAGGUAACGGCUCACCAAGGCGACGACGGGUAGCCGGCCUGAGAGGGUGAGCGGCCACACUGGUACUGAGACACGACCCAGACUCCUACGGGAGGCAGCAGUGGGGAAUAUUGCACAAUGGGCGCAAGCCUGAUGCAGCAACGCCGCGUGAGGGACGACGGCCUUCGGGUUGUAAACCUCUUUUAGUAGGGAAGAAGCGAAAGUGACGGUACCUGCAGAAAAAGCACCGGCUAACUACGUGCCAGCCGCCGCGGUAA
rnacentral:rRNA from 1 species